AUUGAACGCUGGCGGCAGGCCUAACACAUGCAAGUCGAGCGGAAACGAAGGGAGCUUGCUCUCAGGCGUCGAGCGGCGGACGGGUGAGUAAUGCAUGGGAAUCUACCCGAUAGUGGGGGAUAACCUGGGGAAACCCAGGCUAAUACCGCAUACGUCCUACGGGAGAAAGCAGGGGAUCCGUAUUCUUCGGAAUGGGGACCUUGCGCUAUCGGAUGAGCCCAUGUCGGAUUAGCUGGUUGGUGGGGUAAAGGCCCACCAAGGCGACGAUCCGUAGCUGGUCUGAGAGGAUGAUCAGCCACAUCGGGACUGAGACACGGCCCGAACUCCUACGGGAGGCAGCAGUGGGGAAUAUUGGACAAUGGGCGCAAGCCUGAUCCAGCCAUGCCGCGUGUGUGAAGAAGGCCUUCGGGUUGUAAAGCACUUUCAGUGAGGAAGAACGCCUGUGGCCGAAUACGUUGCAGGGAAGACAUCACUCACAGAAGAAGCACCGGCUAACUCCGUGCCAGCAGCCGCAGUAAAAC
rnacentral:rRNA from 1 species